GGCUGGAUGGUGCAACGGUAGCACAUCCUCUUAACUUUAAGCCUCUCUUGAAUCUCAGAGGAAACCCCUUGUUCGAUUCAAGGCCUAGCCA